AGCAAUGGAAGGUAGCAGCUCAAACAACGUCGAAAAUAUCUUCCUUCCCGCCCACGAUCCAAAUGAGUUACGAAACCGGCAGAACGAACUUGAGAAGAAAGAAGCACGGAUUCAAGAGCUGAAGAAACAAAUUGAAUUAACCAAGCUUCAUUUGGAGGAGAUGAAGAAGAAGUCAGGUGCAAAGGAGAAAAUGGAAGCUUUCAAUCACCUGGUUGAGGCAUAUAACCGCAUGAGAGAGGAGUACAAUGCAUUGUUGGCUGAGAGAUCGAGGGACUCCAACCAGUGAACAAGGAUUGAUUC